rnacentral:tRNA from 1 species
CAAAGAAUAGUUUAUUUAAAAUAGUAAUUUUGGAGAUUAUCGAUAAAUGAUUAUAUUUUUCUUUGA